rnacentral:rRNA from 1 species
GAUGAACGCUGGCGGCGUGCUUAACACAUGCAAGUCGAGCGAGAAGUUUUGAAAAGAUUCUUCGGAUGAAAUUUAAAAUGGAAAGCGGCGGACGGGUGAGUAACGCGUAGGCAACCUGCCCCAUACAAAGGGAUAGCAUUUGGAAACGAAUAUUAAUACCUUAUGAAACUUAACUAGUGCAUGCUAGGUAGGUCAAAGAUUUAUCGGUAUGGGAUGGGCCUGCGUCUGAUUAGCUAGUUGGUGAGGUAACGGCUCACCAAGGCGACGAUCAGUAGCCGACGUGGGAGACUGAACGGAUAGGUAGGAACAGAGACACCGUACAAACUCGGAAGGGAGGCAGGAGUGAGGAAUCAUGAAGAAUGGGAGAAACACGGAGGAAGCAACGGUGCGUGAAGAAUGAAGUCGGUUGGGACGUAAAGUUCUGUUGUAGGUGAUGGAAACUGACAGUAACCUAGGAGAAAGCCCCGGCUAACUCCGUG